CAACACUGUAAAUCUAUUAAAUUUGUACACACGUACUGUCAUCGUACUGUCAUCAUACUGUCAUCGUACUGUCGUCGUACUGUCAUCGUAUUCUCAUACUAAUAAGCUGGAAACCAAUAAAGAUGGGACUCCCACAACGUGCAGACGACGGGUUUGAGCCUCGCAAAGAGAAAUACCUUAUCGAUGAAAACGGGAAAAUCUGCAGAUGCCCCAUUUGCCAAAAGCCCCUGGUGAAGAAAGUGGCCACCAACUGCGGCCAUUUGUUUUGCCAGGGAUGUCUGACCAACGCCUUGCAAGAAAGCCCUUUGUGCCCCCGUUGCCAGACAGAAGUGACCAGAGUGCAACGUGUAUUGUGCUAAUUCCAAGGCACCGUUUUUUGUUGCAAAAUUUGACUCGGUUCAAACAUUUUUUAUUGUUUUCUCACCGAUAUUAAAUGCCACAAUCGCCAA